rnacentral:tRNA from 1 species
GCGUUCGUAGCUCAAUGGAUAGAGCGCCAGGUUGCGGACCUGGAGGUUGCGAGUUCGACUCUCGCCGAACGCA